rnacentral:rRNA from 1 species
UACGGAGGGUGCGAGCGUUAAUCGGAGUUACUGGGCGUAAAGGGCGCGUAGGCGGUUAUAUAAGAUUGAUGUGAAAUCCCUGGGCUUAACCUAGGAACUGCACCAAUGACUGUAUAGCUGGAGUACUGUAGAGGGUAGUAGAAUUUCCGGUGUAGCGGUGAAAUGCGUAGAGGUCGGAAGGAAUACCAGUGGCGAAGGCGGCUACCUGGACAGAUACUGACGCUGAGGCGCGAAAGCGUGGGGAGCAAACAGG